rnacentral:rRNA from 1 species
UACAGAGGUCUCAAGCGUUGUUCGGAUUCAUUGGGCGUAAAGGGUGCGUAGGUGGCGGGGUAAGUCAGGUGUGAAAUCUCGGAGCUCAACUCCGAAACUGCACUUGAUACUGCCUUGCUUGAGUACUGGAGAGGAGAUUGAAAUUUACGGUGUAGCAGUGAAAUGCGUAGAUAUCGUAAGGAAGACCAGUGGCGAAGGCGAAUCUCUGGACAGUUACUGACACUGAGGCACGAAGGCCAGGGGAGCAAACGGG